rnacentral:rRNA from 1 species
AAAAACAUCGCUCCCUGUCCCCGAAUACUAUAGGGAGUCGGACCUGCCCAGUGACAUAACAUGUUUAACGGCUGCGGGUAAUACCGCAUUAAAGUAGCAUAAUAAUUUGCCUUUUAAUUGGAGGCUAGUAUGAAUGGUCUGACGAGAGCUCCGCUGUCUCUUUUUAAAUAUUUAGAAAUUAACCUAUAAGUGAAGAGGCUUAAAUUUUAUUGAGGGACGAAAAGACCCUAUUGAGCUUUAGUGACAUCGUAGAAAGCUUUUAUCCGUGUACUAUACAUGAUUACCUUAAUUGCUAAGCUACGAAUAAUCUUUAGCUGGGACGGCUAAGGAGCAAUAAAAACCUCCUUAAUAAUUACAAUAUAAGACUGCCAUGUAAAAGAUCCAGUACUUACUGAUCAAUGGAAAAAGUUACCAUAGGGAUAACAGCGUAAUCCCCUCAAAGAGCUCGUAUCAAAGGGGGGGUUUGCGACCUCGAUGUUGGACUAAGAUACCCCAAGGGUGCAGAAGCUCUUGAUGGUCGGUCUGUUCGACCGUUAAAAUCUUACGUGAUCU